GAGUAAAGAUUUCGGUCGCUUUGGGAGGAGCUCGCUUACUAUCAGCUUGUUGGUAGGGUAAUGGCCUACCAAGGCUACGACGGUUAGGGGGUGUGAGAGCAUGACCCCCAGCAUUGGCACUGAAACACUGGCCAAACACCUACGGGUGGCUGCAGUCGAGAAUCUUCCACAAUGGGGGAAACCCUGAUGGAGCGAUGCUGCGUGCGGGAUGAAGGCCUUCGGGUUGUAAACCGCUUUUGUAGGGGACGAAAUUUUUGACGGUACCCUUUCGAAUAAGAGGUUGCUAACUCUGUGCCAGCAGCAGCGGUAAUACAGAGACCUCAAGCGUUAUCCGGAUUUACUGGGCGUAAAGCGUCUGUAGGGGGUUUAUUAAGUUCCAAGUAAAAUUUCAAGGCUCAACUUUGAAUUCGCUUGGAAAACUAAUAAACUGGAGUCUAGCAGAGGUGCAUGGAACUUGUGGUGUAGGAGUGAAAUCCGUUGAUAUCACAAGGAACACCAAAGGCGAAGGCAUUGCACUGGGCUAGCACUGACCCUGAGAGACGAAAGCGUGGGGAGCAAAACGGAUUAGAUACCCGUGUAGUCCACGCCCUAAACGAUGAAUGCUAAAUGUUCGGGGAUUCGACCCCCUGGGUGUUACAGCUAACGCGUUAAGCAUUCCGCCUGGGAAGUACGGCCGCAAGGCUAAAACUCAAAGGAAUAGACGGGGAUCCGCACAAGCGGUGGAGCGUCUGGUUUAAUUCGACAGUAAGCGUGGUACCUCACCAGGGUUUGACAUCCCUUGACAGCCUUGGAAACAAGGUUUCCUUCGGGCAAGGUGACAGGUGCUGCAUGGUCGUCGUCAGUUCGUGCCGUGAGGUGUUCCGUUAAGUCGGGAAACGAACGAAACCCCUAUUGCAUGUUACAAUUUCUCAUGCAAGACUGCCCGGAUACUCCUGGGAGCAAGGUGGGGAUGACGUCAGAUCUGCAUGGUCCUUAUACCCUGGGCGACACAGGCGCUACAAUGGCAGAGACAAAGGGUUGCAAAACCGCAAGGUGAAGCUAAUCCCAAAAACUUUGUCUAAGUUCGGAUUGAAGGCUGCAAUUCGCCUUCAUGAAGCUGGAAUCGCUAGUAAUCGUGCCUCACCCACGUCACGCUGAAUAUGUUCCCGGAUCUUGUACUCACCGCCCGUCACACCAAGAGAGUUGGUAGCUCC
rnacentral:rRNA from 1 species